GUUCCAAUAAUUUUGCUGCAUCGCCCUUCAAAUCCGAGUCCUCGUCCGUAGGAUCGUCGUUGACCUCACAACUUCAGCUCGAGUUAAUUAUGGUAAGUUGAUUUAUUAUUCCCGUCAACUAAAUAAAUGGUAGGAUUAAAUAGAAGAAUUGAUUGCGAUGUUCUCUUGUUUAUUACUCGCUGUAGAGAUUAAGUUGAAUUUUAGGGUUAUGCGAUAAGUAUAUUGGUAGAUAUAUAUAAUACACGGGUUAACCGGUAAAUUAGUUUAGAAAGUUAAUAAAAAUUCUUCUAUAAAAUUUUAUAAGUAUUAGAUGUCCAAAAAUUGUGAAGUUAAAAGUUAUAAGUCGUUUAGUGUGUUCUCUAGACUAGGUCUGAUAAUUUAUGUGUUGGUCGAUCUCAUGCUUGGAAUGGAUGUUGAUUGCUACCUCGACUGUUUAGCUAGGUUGUAAGAACAUGAUUGUCGUAAGUAACAAUAUAUCGAUAACUAGUGUACGUAAUGUUUCGUCAUUAAAUAGGUUAUUUCUCUUUUGCGUAGCAUCGGAAUAUCUAGUGUUAUUGUUCUUUAUAUGCAUUCAUAUGCAUAAUGCAUUUCAUUCAGGACGAUAAAUAAUCGCGUGAUGCGGAAGAAAAACCAAGUCGACCCCAAGCGUGGGCUAAUCUGCAAGCUGAAGCUGAUGAAUCAACCUGAAGAUGGUUAAAUCAAGCAAGUGCUCGGUCGAAGAAUACUCAUCAAGCGGACGUCACCUAACAAACACUAACCUAGUGUUAUUCAGGCAAGCCCCGGUGCAUUUGCCACCUCCCUUGAUGUUUUUAAA
rnacentral:lncRNA from 1 species